rnacentral:rRNA from 1 species
GACGAACGCUGGCGGCGUGCUUUAUACAUGCAAGUCGAACGAUGAAGUUCCUUCGGGAAUGGUUAGUGGCGAACGGGUGAGGAACACGUGAGAAACCUGCCUUUCAUUCUGGGAUAACACCGGGAAACCGGUGCUAAUACCGGAUGCCGUCGUUUCCUCGCAUGGGGAGAUGACGAAAGGGCUACCGGAUCGGGACGGUCUCGCGGCCUAUCAGCUUGUUGGCGGGGUAAUGGCCCACCAAGGCAACGAC